UACAGAGGUCUCAAGCGUUGUUCGGAUUCAUUGGGCGUAAAGGGUGCGUAGGCGGCGCGGUAAGUCGGGUGUGAAAUCUCGGGGCUUAACUCCGAAACUGCAUUCGAUACUGCCGUGCUUGAGGACUGGAGAGGAAACUGGAAUUUACGGUGUAGCGGUGAAAUGCGUAGAUAUCGUAAGGAAGACCAGUGGCGAAGGCGGGUCUCUGGACAGUUCCUGACGCUGAGGCACGAAGGCCAGGGGAGCAAACGGG
rnacentral:rRNA from 1 species